ACGAACGCUGGCGGCGUGCUUAACACAUGCAAGUCGAACGAUGAUCCAGGAGCUUGCUCUUGGGGAUUAGUGGCGAACGGGUGAGUAACACGUGAGUAACCUGCCCUUGACUCUGGGAUAACCUCCGGAAACGGAAGCUAAUACCGGAUAUGACGUACGGAGGCAUCUCCUGUGCGUGGAAAGAACUUCGGUCAAGGAUGGACUCGCGGCCUAUCAGGUAGUUGGUGAGGUAACGGCCCACCAAGCCUACGACGGGUAGCCG
rnacentral:rRNA from 1 species